UAAUUUAAUAGAAAUUUAGUAUUCGAUAUUUGUAUAAGAAUAUUUAAUUAUUUUUUAGAUUCCCCGUACCCGGAGACUGUGGAAGAUUGAUCACCUGCGUUGAUGGCAAUCCGCGUUUACUUACCUGCGGUGAUGGAAAACUCUUCGAUUCCGUGAGCCUGAGCUGUCUGGAUCCUGAUGAAUUGCCCCACUGUGCCAAUAACAAUCUUUAAAUUACAUUCGUCGUCGAAUUCUGCAAGUUAUCUGGAAUCAUCGUUUCGUUCAUAUUAAGAAUAAUUAAGAAUAAUUAAUUUUUUAUCGAUAUAAAAGGAAACCGGAUACAUGGUCGUUUCCUUCCUGAAUUACGCUUUAAAUUAGAUCAUCUAUUGUUGUAACCACCGUACAAUUGAAACGAUUAUUAUCCUUCUGUAAUUAUGAAAAAUCAUUUUUCUAUAAUUUAUUCGCAAAAAUUUAUUCGUUAUAUAUUCUAAGUUGAAAAGGAAAAAAAAGUUGCUAGACAAGAACAACGAUGUGUACAACGAGUAUUCGAAUAAAACGUGGACGCGUGUACAAAAAAAUAUACAACGUACACUUUA